GAUGAACGCUGGCGGCGUGCCUAACACAUGCAAGUCGAGCGAUUCUCUUCGGAGAAGAGCGGCGGACGGGUCAGUAACGCGUGGGUAACCUGCCCUGUACACACGGAUAACAUACCGAAAGGUAUGCUAAUACGAGAUAAUAUGCUUUUAUCGCAUGGUAGAAGUAUCAAAGCUUUUGCGGUACAGGAUGGACCCGCGUCUGAUUAGCUAGUUGGUAAGGUAACAGCUUACCAAGGCGACGAUCAGUAGCCGACCUGAGAGGGUGAUCGGCCACAUUGGAACUGAGACACGGUCCAAACUCCUACGGGAGGCAGCAGUGGGGAAUAUUGCACAAUGGGCGAAAGCCUGAUGCAGCAACGCCGCGUGAGCGAUGAAGGCCUUCGGGUCGUAAAGUUCUGUCCUCAAGGAAGAUAAUGACGGUACUUGAGGAGGAAGCCCCGGCUAACUACGUG
rnacentral:rRNA from 1 species